rnacentral:rRNA from 1 species
UACGUAUGGGGCGAGCGUUGUCCGGAAUUAUUGGGCGUAAAGGGUACGUAGGCGGUUUCAUAAGUCAGAUGUAAAAGCGUGGGGCUCAACCCCAUAAAGCAUUUGAAACUGUUGAACUUGAGUAGUGGAGAGGAAAGUGGAAUUCCUAGUGUAGCGGUGAAAUGCGUAGAUAUUAGGAGGAAUACCAGUGGCGAAGGCGACUUUCUGGACACAAACUGACGCUGAGGUACGAAAGCAUGGGGAGCAAACAGGAUUAGAUACCCCGGUAGUCCCUGAGCGGGCU